AGUCUGGUGCCAGCAGCUGCGGUAAUACCAGCUCCAAUAGCGUAUAUUAAAGUUGUUGCAGUUAAAAAGCUCGUAGUUGGACUUGUGUGCGCUGUCCGCGGGUGGCCUGCGCCCAAAAGGGCGUUUCGGUUCGGCCCCGGUGGCGCCUUGAAAUCUGCGGCUGGGGGGACGUUGGCCUUAACUGGUCGGCGACCGCACGCCGGCUGCUCGGUUACUGUGAGAAAAUUAGAGUGUUCAAGGCAGGCAUUGGGUGCAAUUGAACACAUUAGCAUGGAAUAAUAAAAUAUGGCUCCUGCCGUAUUUUGUUGGUUUUGACUGGUGGGAGUAAUGAUUGAUAGGGACGGUUGGGGGUGCUAGUAUUGAGCGGCCAGAGGUGAAAUUCAUGGAUUCGCUCAAGACUAACUUAUGCGAAAGCAUUCACCAAGGACGUCCUCUUUAAUCAAGAACGAAAGUUGGGGGAUCGAAGACGAUCAGAUACCGUCGUAGUCUCAACCAUAAACUAUGUCGACUUGGGAUCGGCGGUAGUUUUUUCAUUAAGACACUGUCGGGACCACGGGAGAAAUCAAAGUGUCUGGACUCUGGGGGAAGUAUGGUCGCAAGGCUGAAACUUGAAGGAAUUGACGGAAGGGCACCACCAGGAGUGGAGCCUGCGGCUUAAUUUGACACAACACGGGGAAACUUACCAGGUCCAGAGAUGUAGAGGAUUGACGGAUUGAAGCUCUUUCUUGAUCACUUCGGUGGUGGUGCAUGGCCGUUCUUAGUUGGUGGAGUGAUUUGUCUGGUUAAUUCCGUUAACGAACGAGACCUCAGCCUGCUAGUGUAGUCGGCUGGAUUGCCUUUGGCGAUCCGUGAUUUCGACUUCUUAGAGGGACAAUCGACGCGCAGUCGAUGGAAGUUUGAGGCAAUAACAGGUCUGUGAUGCCCUUAGAUGUUCUGGGCCGCACGCGCGCUACACUGCUGGGCUCAGCGAGUUUUACUUGGCCGAGAGGCCCGGUUAAUCUUGUGAAAUCCCAGCGUGCUUGGGCUCGCCUCCUGCAACUGGAGGCGCCAACGAGGAAUUCCUAGUAGACGCAGGUCAUCAACCUGCAUCGAUUACGUCCCUGCCCUUUGUACACACCGCCCGUCGUUCCAUAAGAGUGAGGCAUCCGGUGAAUUCUCGGGAGAGCCUGGGCGUGGCCAGCAAUGGUCUGCUCGGGUUUGAACUUGCAUAAACUUGGUGCCUAUGAUUAGGG
rnacentral:rRNA from 1 species